UACGGGGGGGGCAAGCGUUGUUCGGAAUUACUGGGCGUAAAGGGCUCGUAGGUGGCCAACUAAGUCAGACGUGAAAUCCCUCAGCUUAACUGGGGAACUGCGUCUGAUACUGGAUGGCUUGAGUUUGGGAGAGGGAUGCGGAAUUCCAGGUGUAGCGGUGAAAUGCGUAGAUAUCUGGAGGAACACCGGUGGCGAAGGCGGCAUCCUGGACCAACACUGACACUGAGGAGCGAAAGCUAGGGGAGCAAACAGG
rnacentral:rRNA from 1 species